GGCAGAUUUGGAGGAACGAGAGAAAAACACAAACAACACAAAUGAAGAUCUCUGUCAAUUUACGGACUGCUAGGCAUACAAAAAACUUCUAUUGUUCCUGCCCAAAUUGGCUUAAUUUAUUUGGGCAUGCUUUCAUCACAUGCACAUCCCCACAAGGAUGGUGAAGAGGUUGCGGGGCAGUUUUUUACCGCAGGUACAAAAUGCGGGGCAAAGAUGCCCGAUUCUUAGAACGCAGUUUCUCCGAGAGACAUAGACAGUACACAGUAUAUCUGGAAGUACACGUAUGAAAAAUUAAAUAAAAUCCCCUCGGCACUCGCUGAAGCAUUUGAAA